GUCGGCUCAUCACAUCCUGGGGCUGAAGUAGGUCCCAAGGGUAUGGCUGUUCGCCAUUUAAAGUGGUACGCGAGCUGGGUUUAGAACGUCGUGAGACAGUUCGGUCCCUAUCUGCCGUGGGCGCUGGAGAACUGAGGGGGGCUGCUCCUAGUACGAGAGGACCGGAGUGGACGCAUCACUGGUGUUCGGGUUGUCAUGCCAAUGGCACUGCCCGGUAGCUAAAUGCGGAAGAGAUAAGUGCUGAAAGCAUCUAAGCACGAAACUUGCCCCGAGAUGAGUUCUCCCUGACUCCCUGAGAGUCCUGAAGGAACGUUGAAGACGACGACGUUGAUAGGCCGGGUGUGUAAGCGCAGCGAUGCGUUGAGCUAACCGGUACUAAUGAACCGUGAGG
rnacentral:rRNA from 1 species